rnacentral:ribozyme from 1 species
UUCACAUAGGCUCUGCAAUAAGGUAGAACUCGGAACCUAUUGAAGGUCACACAGGCUCUCCUACUCAACUCCCAUUCUGCAACGUCCUCGUCGUGCAGAGUGACGAGAACUACCGUAUAUCCAAUAUUGAGUACACGGACUAGCUCCAACCCUUUGAUCGGGUAGUGAUGCUCGGCAAAAGAGGAGGGC